rnacentral:tRNA from 1 species
CCGGCUCGUGGCCAACACGGCGGUGGCCGGCAUCGUGCUGUGGGGCGCCCACCGGGUGGCGUCCGGCUCGCUGGAGCUGGGC